CUAUUAAAGACCGAAGAGACCUUAAGACCACCUUACAAAGACCAAGGAUUUUAAGAAGCUGGUUUCCCUACAAUACAAUGUCUAUUUUAGUAUCGCAUGAUUACCAUGCUCACGUAAAUUAUUGGGUGACGCGGCGUGACUUUGCGUGACGCUAUUUCGCCAUCAUGUAUAACAUUAAAUAUCAACUAGUCUAAGCAUGCCUGCCUCGCUUCGCUGCACGACAAUAGCAACACCGUGUAAAAUAAUGAUUUUUAUCAACGAAAGUUUGGGAGCCUGUCAAUAGAUUAAAGGCUAUUUUUAAAGACAUGGAAGCUAGUUCUUUUGAUGUUUUUGAAACAGGCUCAGCGCUUCGAGCGGUCCUGCAACGAGGUCUGCAGCGGAAAAAAAAAAUCCCCGGCCAUGUGGGAUUACAUAUUGAUGGUCCUAGACAUUUUUUUUGUCACGAUACAGAGCUUCAAACAUACGUGCAUUCUUGAAAAAUAGGGGGUGCCCAGUCAAGAUACCCAAAUACAUGACUACUUCUGAAUCGAAGGAGAUCCCCGUGGACCUUAUGCACGAAAUGAAGGCGGAGGAGGAAGUAACACACGAUCUUGGUUUGCACAACCAUGCGACGAGUUUGGAAAUUUUCAGAAAAUUAGUCCAAACAUCCCUCGGGCUUAGUAAGUUAUUUUUUCGUUCACAAUUGUAUCUUAUCAGCUGCUAAUUAUGUUAUUGUUAUGUUAUUUCUUAGACGACAGUGAUAUCAUCGAAACAAAAGUUAUGCAGCUAAAGCCCAUCGUAACGGGAAGGUUGCGCGAGGCUAAAAAGUCCAUCUUGAAAGCAACAAACUCGGAUGAGUUUGAUGAGUUGAUGAUCAUCAUCAACACUAACUCUUGUAAUUUUGUAUCCUUUCACAGAAAAGUUCUUCCUCAUUGGCUGCAGAAAUGACACCUGAACAGAGAGAGAUGGGGAGGGAAGUGGCUCAAAACACCCCAAAGCGGCCAUCCUCAGUUAAAUGUCCAAAAUGUGGCAAAGACGAGAGCCACUUAAAACGCCACAUGGCCCGGAGGCAUGGCUGGUCUGCGAAACACUACAACAAGUGGGUACGACAAGUAAGAAUGCAAGCCAAUAAAGACAAACGAAGAGUGGUGAAGUGCCCUGUCAAGGCGUGCAAUUGGGCAAGGGCUGCGCCUUGACAGGCACUGCCAAUACCGACAUCCAACAUUGCCGCCAACUACUUAUAAACUGGCACUGGCACUGGCAGUGGGAAUGAAGCCAACGUCACCAACCAAACCAAAAGCUGUCAUUAAAAGAACGAUCCCUUCCUCCGACGAGGAAGACAGCGAAAAAGAAAAGACACCGGUCACACCGACUAAAAGUAAGUCACCGACUAAAAUCAGACGAUUGUUGUCAUCGUCGUCAGACUCCGCGUCCGAUGAGGAGAGUUGCCAGGAGUCUAGCCAGGAAAGCGAUGAGUUGGACCAGACCUUCAAAAGUUCCGAUUGGUUUCAAGGCAUGCAGAAUACUCUUAUCGCAUACCUGAGGGGGUUUGAGCGUUGGCUUAUAACGCCAAAUGGGAGUUCGAAGACAAA